CAUCCUACGGGGGGCAGCAGUCGGGAAUAUUGCGCAAUGGAGGAAACUCUGACGCAGUGACGCCGCGUAUAGGAAGAAGGUUUUCGGAUUGUAAACUAUUGUCGUGAGGGAAGAAGAUGACAGUACCUCAGGAGGAAGCUCCGGCUAACUAUGUGCCAGCAGCCGCGGUAAUACAUAGGGGGCAAGCGUUAUCCGGAUUUACUGGGUGUAAAGGGAGCGUAGACGGCAGCGCAAGUCUGGAGUGAAAUGCCGGGGCUCAACCCCGGAACUGCUUUGGAAACUGUGCAGC
rnacentral:rRNA from 1 species